rnacentral:lncRNA from 1 species
CAGCCUCAAUAUCACCUGAAAAGUUACUAGAAAUGAAGAUUCUUGGGUCGCAUUCCAGACUCACUGGCUCAGAAGUUCUGGGAGUGGGGGCCGGCCUCACUGUGCUUGACAAGCCCUGCUGGUGAUUCUAACACACACCAAUCUAGGAGAACCUCGGCCUGCAGAGCCAAGCCUGGGGGAUGCAGUGGAAGAGAACCAGGUCCUAUUUGCCUGUGGUCAAGACCAUCUAAGAACAUCAAGGCCUUACAGAAAUAAGGGACUUGAGAAGGGUCAGAGAAAGAAAAGCAGCUCCUCUGGCAGACAAGGAGGGCAGGACAUCAGAAGUGGCUGAGAAAAAACACCCCCAGCUCUGGGUCAUGAGAAGAGGACUGAAGUCAAUCCCGGUGGUAAGACCACGCAGGCGCUUUGAGGGAGACCUAAUAU